rnacentral:rRNA from 1 species
AAGCGCUCAUGACCAGACUUGGGCUUGGUUGAUCAUCCAGGGUUCUCCCUGGUGCACUCUUCCAGCCCAGGCCAGCAUCAGUUCGCUGUGGGGGAUAAAGGCGGCGGGAAUGUGGCUCUCUUCGGGGAGUGUUAUAGCCCGCCGUGUAAUACCCUGGGGGGGACUGAGGUUCGCGCAUCUGCAAGGAUGCUGGCGUAAUGGUCAUCAACGA